AUGGUGAUGAUGAGAUGACGAUGAUGAUGAUGAGAUGAUGAUGAUGGUGGUGGAUGAUGGUAGUGGUGAUGAUGGUGAUGAUGAUGGUGAUGAUGGUGGUGAUGAUGAUGAUGGUGGUGAUGAUGGUGAUGAUGAUGGUAGUGGUGAUGAUGGUGAUGAUGAUGGUGAUGAUGGUGGUGAUGGUGAUGAUGGUGAUGAUGAUGGUGAUGAUGAUGGUGAUGGUGGUGAUGAUGAUGGUGAUGAUGAUGAUGAUGAUGGUGAUGAUGAUGAUGGUGGUGAUGAUGGUAGUGGUGAUGAUGGUGAUGAUGAUGGUGGUGAUGAUGAUGAUGGUGAUGAUGAUGACAGUUAGCAAACAAUUGGCUUAUCUUAUAGAUAAACAAUUUAGCCUAUAUCACUUUUACACAAAAAUAUGAUAAACAAAUAAACACUCGCACAGCGAUACUGGGACACAUUUAACAGACCAGUGUGUUAUCUUUACUACUUCAGUGCACUCUCUCUCUCUCUCUCUCUCUCUCUCUCUCUCUCUUUCUGUCACUCUGUUUGUCGCUUUCUGUGUCUGUGUGUUUCCCUCGGUCUCUCUUUCUCUUGUAUCUCUAUUUCUCUCUGUCU
ensembl:lncRNA